rnacentral:rRNA from 1 species
CCUACGGGUGGCAGCAGUGAGGAAUAUUGGUCAAUGGACGCGAGCCUGAACCAGCCAAGUAGCGUGCAGGAUGACUGCCCUACGGGUUGUAAACUUCUUUUAUAAAGGAAUAAAGUGAGGCACGUGUGCCUUUUUGUAUGUACUUUAUGAAUAAGGAUCGGCUAACUCCGUGCCAGCAGCCGCGGUAAUACGGAGGAUCCGCGCGUUAUCCGGAUUUAUUGGGUUUAAAGGGAGCGUAGAUGGGUUGUUAAGUCAGUUGUGAAAGUUUGCGGCUCAACCGUAAAAUUGCACUUGAUACUGGAGGCCUUGAGUACAGUUGGGGUAGGCGGAAUUCAUGGUGUAGCGGUGAAAUGCUUAGAUAUCACGAAGAACUCCGAUUGCGAAGGCAGCUUACUAAGCUGCCACUGACAUGGAGGCUCGAAAGUGGGGGUAUCAAACAGGAUUAGAUACCCGGGUAGUC